rnacentral:rRNA from 1 species
GACGAACGCUGGCGGCGUGCUUAACACAUGCAAGUCGAACGGUGAAAGCGGAGCUUGCUCCGCUGGAUCAGUGGCGAACGGGUGAGUAACACGUGGGCAACCUGCCCCUCACUUCGGGAUAACUCCGGGAAACCGGGGCUAAUACCGGAUAUGACCUCCUUGGGCAUCCUUGGCGGUGGAAAGUCUUUCGGUGAGGGAUGGGCCCGCGGGCUAUCAGCUUGGUGGUGAGGUAGUGGCUCACCAAGGCGGCGACGGGAAGCCGGCCUGAGAGGGCGACCGGGCACACUGGGACUGAGACACGGCCCAGACGCCUACGGGAGGCAGCAGUGGGGAAUAUUGCGCAAUGGGCGAAAGCCUGACGCAGCAACGCCGCGUGCGGGAUGACGGCCUUCGGGUUGUAAACCGCUUUCAGCAGGGAAGAAGCCGCAAGGUGACGGUACCUGCAGAAGAAGCACCGGCUAACUACGUGCCAGCCGCCGCAGUAA